rnacentral:rRNA from 1 species
ACGCUGGCGGCGUGCCUAACACAUGCAAGUCGAACGGGGUGAUUUCCUUCGGGAGAUCACUUAGUGGCGGACGGGUGAGUAACGCGUGAGUAACCUGCCUUGGAGUGGGGAAUAACACAGAGAAAUUUGUGCUAAUACCGCAUAAUGCAUUUGUAUCGCAUGGUACUGAAUGCCAAAGAUUUAUCGCUCUGAGAUGGACUCGCGUCUGAUUAGAUAGUUGGUGAGGUAACGGCUCACCAAGUCGACGAUCAGUAGCCGGACUGAGAGGUUGGACGGCCACAUUGGGACUGAGACACGGCCCAGACUCCUACGGGAGGCAGCAGUGGGGAAUAUUGCACAAUGGGCGCAAGCCUGAUGCAGCGAUGCCGCGUGAGGGAAGAAGGUUUUAGGAUUGUAAACCUCUGUCUUCAGGGACGAUAAUGACGGUACCUGAGGAGGAAGCUCCGGCUAACUACGUG